rnacentral:rRNA from 1 species
ACAUGCAAGUCGAACGGUAACAGGAAGCAGCUUGCUGCUUCGCUGACGAGUGGCGGACGGGUGAGUAAUGUCUGGGAAACUGCCUGAUGGAGGGGGAUAACUACUGGAAACGGUGGCUAAUACCGCAUAACGUCGCAAGACCAAAGAGGGGGACCUUCGGGCCUCUUGCCAUCAGAUGUGCCCAGAUGGGAUUAGCUUGUUGGUGAGGUAACGGCUCACCAAGGCGACGAUCCCUAGCUGGUCUGAGAGGAUGACCAGCCACACUGGAACUGAGACACGGUCCAGACUCCUACGGGAGGCAGCAGUGGGGAAUAUUGCACAAUGGGCGCAAGCCUGAUGCAGCCAUGCCGCGUGUAUGAAGAAGGCCUUCGGGUUGUAAAGUACUUUCAGCGGGGAGGAAGGUGUUGUGGUUAAUAACCGCAGCAAUUGACGUUACCCGCAGAAGAAGCACCGGCUAACUCCGUGCCAGCAGCCGCGGUAAUACGGAGGGUGCAAGCGUUAAUCGGAAUUACUGGGCGUAAAGCGCACGCAGGCGGUCUGUCAAGUCGGAUGUGAAAUCCCCGGGCUCAACCUGGGAACUGCAUUCGAAACUGGCAGGCUUGAGUCUUGUAGAGGGGGGUAGAAUUCCAGGUGUAGCGGUGAAAUGCGUAGAGAUCUGGAGGAAUACCGGUGGCGAAGGCGGCCCCCUGGACAAAGACUGACGCUCAGGUGCGAAAGCGUGGGGAGCAAACAGGAUUAGAUACCCUGGUAGUCCACGCCGUAAACGAUGUCUACUUGGAGGUUGUGCCCUUGAGGCGUGGCUUCCGGAGCUAACGCGUUAAGUAGACCGCCUGGGGAGUACGGCCGCAAGGUUAAAACUCAAAUGAAUUGACGGGGGCCCGCACAAGCGGUGGAGCAUGUGGUUUAAUUCGAUGCAACGCGAAGAACCUUACCUGGUCUUGACAUCCACAGAACUUUCCAGAGAUGGAUUGGUGCCUUCGGGAACUGUGAGACAGGUGCUGCAUGGCUGUCGUCAGCUCGUGUUGUGAAAUGUUGGGUUAAGUCCCGCAACGAGCGCAAC